AUUCGAAACAGGAAUUCGAUUCCGAAUUUUUCACAACAGAGUUUGAUCCUGGCUCAGAUUGAACGCUGGCGGCAGGCCUAACACAUGCCAGUCGAGCGGAUGAUGGGAGCUUGCUCCCGGAUUCAGCGGCGGACGGGUGAGUAAUGCCUAGGAAUCUGCCUGGUAGUGGGGGACAACGUUUCGAAAGGAACGCUAAUACCGCAUACGUCCUACGGGAGAAAGCAGGGGACCUUCGGGCCUUGCGCUAUCAGAUGAGCCUAGGUCGGAUUAGCUAGUUGGUGGGGUAAAGGCCUACCAAGGCGACGAUCCGUAACUGGUCUGAGAGGAUGAUCAGUCACACUGGAACUGAGACACGGUCCAGACUCCUACGGGAGGCAGCAGUGGGGAAUAUUGGACAAUGGGCGAAAGCCUGAUCCAGCCAUGCCGCGUGUGUGAAGAAGGUCUUCGGAUUGUAAAGCACUUUAAGUUGGGAGGAAGGGCAGUAAGUUAAUACCUUGCUGUUUUGACGUUACCAACAGAAUAAGCACCGGCUAACUUCGUGCCAGCAGCCGCGGUAAUACGAAGGGUGCAAGCGUUAAUCGGAAUUACUGGGCGUAAAGCGCGCGUAGGUGGUUUGG
rnacentral:rRNA from 1 species